UAGGGAAUCUUCCGCAAUGGGCGAAAGCCUGACGGAGCAAUGCCGCGUGAGGGAUGAAGGCCUUCGGGUCGUAAACCUCUGUUGAGAGGGAAGAAGGGUGGGUGCGAUAAUACCGCAUUUACCUUGACGGUACCUCUCGAGGAAGCCUCGGCUAAUUACGUGCCAGCAGCCGCGGUAAUACGUAAGAGGCAAGCGUUGUCCGGAAUCACUGGGCGUAAAGGGCACGUAGGCGGCGUGGCAAGUCAGGGGUGCAAGCUCCAGGCUUAACCUGGAAAUUGCCCUUGAAACUACCUCGCUUGAGUGUCGGAGGGGAGACUGGAAUUCACGGUGUAGCGGUGAAAUGCGUAGAUAUCGUGGAGAACAUCCGUGGCGAAGGCGGGUCUCUGGCCGACGACUGACGCUGAGGUGCGAAAGCUAGGGGAGCAAACGGG
rnacentral:rRNA from 1 species